rnacentral:rRNA from 1 species
UACGGAGGAUCCGAGCGUUAUCCGGAAUUAUUGGGUUUAAAGGGUGCGUAGGCGGCCAUUUAAGUCAGCGGUGAAAUUUUGCAGCUUAACUGUAACAGUGCCGUUGAUACUGUUUGGCUAGGAUUUGGUUGUAGUGUGCGGAAUGUGUGGUGUAGCGGUGAAAUGCUUAGAUAUUACACAGAACACCAAUUGCGUAGGCAGCUUACUGAGCCGACACUGACGCUGAGGCACGAAAGCGUGGGGAUCAAACAGGAUUAGAUACCCU